AUGCUCAUAAAUUUUAAAAAUAAUGGGGGGUUAGUGAUUCCUUCAUCUAGUAUGUCUAUAUUAUGCCGAAUUUGUGAAAGUUCAUUUAGAACUUAUCAAAAUGAUAUUAAACGUAAAAAUAUUAUUAAAAAAAUGGAAGUGUUGGUUUUUUCCACAAUAAUUGGUACAAAUAUUUUUAUUGAUCUUACUGAACAUAUUAAUGAACAUGAGAUUGGUUACAGCCAUUUUCAAAUUCUUGUAAAAUUAAUUGUUCAAAGAUAUUUAAAUAUUAGAUUUUUUCAUUUUGCUGACUUGAGAAACCAGGAAUUGAGAACUGGUAUGAGGCAAAAUCUUACAAAAGCAAUACAAUUUAAUAAUCAAUAAGUCAUGUGAUGAUAGAAUCAAAAAGGAUGAAUGUUUAUAAUCAAAGAUAAUAUGAAUGUGAAUCAUCACAUUGUUAAAAAUACAUUUUGUUUAUUAAAGUGUACUCUAUAUUUUUAUAUAUUUAUUGUAUAAACCUUAUUUAAAUGAUUUAUAUAAUAAUUUAAA